UCAGGUGCCUAUAUCGAUGGUGUCCACCUCUUCCCAUUCCGAACAGAGAAGUUAAGCCCAUCCGAGCCGAUGGUACUGCGGUAACACGUGGGAGAGUAGGUCGGUGCCUAGC
rfam:Corchorus olitorius cultivar O-4 contig03499, whole genome shotgun sequence.